AUAGAAACAAUGGAAUGAAGCCAAUUCACCAAUCAUCAAAAGAAAGUCACUGAAAGCCAAUUUGUUGACCUAUGUACCGUUGGUGGCAGAGGAAAAGGGGUCAAGGGAGGAAAUCUGAAAAGUGCUGGGGAGUGAUUAGAGAGUUAAGAGGAAGCUUCCCUCAAAGACAUGGAGUUCUGUUCCUAAAGCUGUACUUCCAGUAUUCUGAAACCAGUGUGUCUAGUGUGCUCCACUGUGGAUACCAUGAUGCAGUGGUGGAAAGAAUAAGAGGUGAGUCAUAAAAUCAGGUAACAGAUAAAAUGGCAGAUCAGGUACUGACUGUGUUCCAGAAAUGCUGCGCGUGGCAUAUUAUUGAGAAGCAUAAGAGCUAGUUUGGUGAUACUGAAGUUUCAAUUCUGUAUUUUUUGAGUGGUCACUAUUUGUAUUUUUCAUUUGUCAGCUAACUUUCCUUUCAAAAUAGUUUUUUUUUGGGGGGGGGAAGGGAAAAUAAUUAAAUGAACAGAUAUUUGAUAUAAAUAUAUUUUUAACCCCUUUAUUAUAGUUUUCUGUUCUCUUUGCAUUUUCCCAUUUGUUUUUUCUUCUCUUCCUUUUCUUUAGAGACCCUUUUUCUUUUAAAAAAUCUGCCCAAAAUUUCUCUCUAAAUUUUCUAUUUUCUCAGUUUACCUCUUCUAAUUAAUCAGACUCUACUUUUUCUUCAAGUUGAUCAGUGCUUUCUGCUCUUCUAGGUAGGAUGAGGCCUUCAGAAAUUAUACGGCAACUUUUAAUUCUCACAUAUGAUGCCCUAGGUUCAACUCUUCAUGUAACAAAACAUCUUAUUUUAGACAAUAUUUAUUUUAAAAGAUAUUACAACAUAUUCUCAAACAAACAUUGAUGAGCUUAGUUGUCUCAGCAUUACUCUGGCUAUUUUAAAAUACAUUAUUUUGUUAACCACGCCUUUUCACCUUUUAUAAAGCUGAAAAAUAGGAAGUGCUUCUUCUUUUCAUUUUUUGUCUUGGUAGUUUCUAACCACAUUUUUGCACUGUGGUUUCAUGUAAGCAGUUGUUGAUAGUCAACUGAUAAGUGUUGUUAUGUACAAAAGUCAUGCUUAUGAGGUAUGAAAGUGAGUGAAAGAACAUUUGAGACAAUGCAUAUUUAACUCUGCAAGUAACAUGCUCCUAUGGAAUAAAAGACAAAUGAUUUUCUCUAAUUUUAUCACCUGUCCAACAAACAGCCCUUUGGAUGUUCAAAGAUUAUCGUCAUGAUCCACUUUACAGUUUAGUAGUAAUACUAUAGUAUAUGACAUUGUAUUAAAUAAAAAGAUGUAUGUAAUAUUGAUUGAUAUGAUUUUUAAAUUCAAUUAUCUGAACUGAAGUUAGAAAUUAAGCUCAUACACAAGGAUGGGAGAAAGCCUUCUGUGGUGGCAAUUGUCAAUGUCUUUCAGUGGUUUGGAAGAAAAUUGCUGAAGGAGACGUUGGCUCUCCCUCAGGGAUGUCCUUGACCCUGCACCUGCCGUGUCGUUUUUCCAGACAAGGAAGGCUAUUUUCUUCCAAAUGUGAAUUUAAUCCCUAUGUAAACCUUCUGAGGCUAGAAAUUCAGGCGCAUUAUAUAGGAUAAAUGAUAUUUUAGAAGAAUUUGUUGUUUGAAAAAGAUCAGUUUUCAGCCUGUUUAAUAUACCAAGAAUUUCCUAAACUUAAUUGCCCUGGAAAAUAUCCUUCAUACUGAAUACACCCUCCCAAACACAAAACAUGUUAAAACAAAACAAAACAAAACAGUGGCACUUGUGUUCUGUAGAAUUCAUUUUGGAAAUUGAAAUUUAGUGACUUUAUUUUGGAAAUUAAGGUUUAUACCAGAUAGCUUUUGAAAGCACCUUCAAUCCUAACAAUAAAAUUCCAGCAUAAUGUUAGCAAGAUCUUGUGUUCAAUAUUGUGUUAUAAUAUACUGUAGAUACACUUGCACUGUAACAAAAAAAUCAUUUACUAAUGUAAAUGCAGUUUUAAGGGGAAUUAAAAUUAGUUUUUGUUACAUGAUAUUGUAUGGAUG
ensembl:lncRNA